rnacentral:sRNA from 1 species
UUAAUGACAUGUUUCGAAACUUGCAUAAUUUUAAUGGCAUGGAUCUAAUUAACCAUAUUUUUUA